rnacentral:rRNA from 1 species
UACGUAGGGUGCUAGCGUUGUCCGGAUUUAUUGGGCGUAAAGGGCUCGUAGGCGGCGUGUCGCGUCGGGGAGUGAAAGCCCGCUGCUUAACGGCGGGUUGGCUUCCGGUACGGGCAUCGCUGGAGUGCGGCAGGGGAGACUGGAAUUCCUGGUGUAGCGGUGGAAUGCGCAGAUAUCAGGAGGAACACCGGUGGCGAAGGCGGGUCUCUGGGGCCGUUACUGACGCUGAGGAGCGAAAGCGUGGGGGAGCGAACAGG